rnacentral:rRNA from 1 species
GAUGAACGCUGGCGGUAUGCUUAACACAUGCAAGUCGAACGGUACCUUCGGGUAUAGUGGCGGACGGGUGAGUAACGCGUGAGAAUCUAUCUUCAGGUCGGGGACAACAGUUAGAAAUGACUGCUAAUACCGGAUGUGCCGAAAGGUAAAAGAUUUAUUGCCUGAAAAAGAGCUCGCGUCAGAUUAGCUAGUAGGUGGUGUAAGAGACUACCUAGGCUUCGAUCUGUAGCUGGUCUGAGAGGACGAUCAGCCACACUGGAACUGAGACACGGUCCGGACUCCUACGGGAGGCAGCAGUGGGGAAUUUACCGCAAUGGGCGAAAGCAUGACGGAGCAAUACCGCGUGAGGGACGAAGGCUCUUGGGUCGUAAACCUCUUUUCUCAAGGAAGAUUCAGACGGUACUUGAGGAAUAAGCAUCGGCUAACUCUGUG